AGGAAUUUAGACACAUCCACUAGUCCUUUCCCCAUGGAGACAUGGUGUGCAGUGCUUGCGAACAGCAGCCUCCUUGCUAGCGUAUGUAGCCUGUCCUAUAUGGGUUGCCCUGAAGGACCUUGGAGACAAUA